rnacentral:lncRNA from 1 species
UAAUGUAGUGAUGUUAAAUGCCAACCUCCAGAAGGAUGUAAAGCUGGAAUUGUAAAAGAUCCAUGUAACUGUUGUGACGUAUGUGCUAAGGAUUUGGAUGAAGAUUGUGGUGGACCAUUUGAUAUGCUUGGGCUAUGUGGAAGUCAUCUAAAAUGUGUUAAAGAAGAAAUUCCUGGAUUAGAUAAGUUUAACGCUAAAGGAAAAUGUCAACCUAAAUGUGGACCAGUAUGUCUCAUUUAUUGUGAAAAUGGAAACGAGCUUGAUGAAAACGGUUGUCCAACUUGCAUCUGCAAAACGAAUUGAAAGACAUUAAAUCUAUGGGAUCAUAAUUAACAGACGUCAUCUAAAUAAAACUGUAAUUUUAUUCAAGUGGAAACUUUAUUAAUUGUUAACGAUAAAUUCUCUAAAGGUUUUUGAAUUGAAACUACCUAAAACUUCAAACCUUUGGUCAUAUAUAUAAUGUUUUUGUAUCGUUUUUUAUAUUGAUUACAUUUAAAUAAUUAUUGAUA